AUGUUAGAGAACCAAGUGGUGAUGAAUGUUGUUAAUAUUGGAAGGGAAAGAAAGAUCUUGUUUGUUUUUCUGCUACAGUGCUAUUAUCAUAAUUUUCCUGUAAUGGUAAUUCACUGAUAAAACAAACAAUGGAAAAUAAAUCGAAACAGUAAAUUCAAGAUGAGUAAUUAAUACUGGAGUAUAUUUAUUUGCAUGGGUGCUGAGGUGUCUGUCUUUACAAUAGGUCUCUAUGUCCUGUGCUCUGAUGUCAUAGUGCUGUGUGUAAGCCGUGCUGUGUUAGAAGUUGGGGGAUUGGAUGGGCUCUCUACUGUGGGAAUAGUUUGUAUUCAAUUGUAAAUGAUGUAGUUGGGGGUACUGUGAUAUGUUAAGUGAUCAUUGCCUUUUCUGCUGUACAAUAUGACCCUUCUCAUCUCUCUCAUUCAUUUUGCAUGCCUCUGCUCACUUCUGUACAGCCACAGUUGAGGCUAUUGAGGCUGAAAAAGCAAUACGAGGAUUCUCUCCACCACAUAGAAUCUGCAGUUUUGAAGAGGCAAAGGGUUUGGAUAGGAUCAAUGAGAGAAUGCCACCCCGGAAAGAUGCUGUGCAGCAAGAUGGUUUCAAUUCCCUGAACACCGCACAUACCACUGAGAACCACGGGACUGGCAACCAUAGUGCCCAGUGACCAGCGGCUUCCCAGGGAUGGACAGAUCACUAAGGAGCCGGAGGGGUCGGCCGAGCUGAUGAUAAAUGUCAUAAUCUCUCUGAAGAAACAAACCAUUGUGCUUUUUGAGACCCUUGCCCCCUUCCCGGAUGGAGGCUUGAGGGCCUUGGGACUUGUGCUGUCCAUAAGAUUGGGGAAUCGCUGCCACAGCGGAGAGCAGUG
rnacentral:lncRNA from 1 species